rnacentral:rRNA from 1 species
GGCAGCUGCCUCAAUGUCCUAAAGGCAUUAGAUCCUUUCUGAUCUUGGGAACUAAGUAGGAUAAGCUCUGUGAGUACUUGGAUGGGAGGCCACAAAUGCACACCAGGUGCUGUAGGCU